UACAGAGGUCUCAAGCGUUGUUCGGAUUCAUUGGGCGUAAAGGGUGCGUAGGCGGCGCGGUAAGUCGGGUGUGAAAUCUCGGAGCUUAACUCCGAAACUGCAUUCGAUACUGCCGUGCUUGAGGACUGGAGAGGAGACUGGAAUUUACGGUGUAGCGGUGAAAUGCGUAGAUAUCGUAAGGAAGACCAGUGGCGAAGGCGGGUCUCUGGACAGUUCCUGACACUGAAGACACGAAGGCCAGGGGAGCAAACGGG
rnacentral:rRNA from 1 species